AUCGAACGCUGGCGGCAGGCCUAACACAUGCAAGUCGAGCGGAGCGGGGGACGGGUGGGGGAUGACUAGGGAUUUGCCUGGUAGUGGGGGAUAACGUCCGGAAACGGGACCUAAUACCGCAUACGAUAAAGGCAGCCUAGGUGUGCUUAGCUAGAUGGUGGGGUAAAGGCCUACCAAGGCGACGAUCCGGAACUGGUCUGAGAGGAUGAUCAGUCACACUGGGACUGAGACACGGUCCAGACUCCUACGGGAGGCAGCAGUGGGGAAUAUUGGACAAUGGGCGAAAGCCUGAUCCAGCCAUGCCGCGUGUGUGAAGAAGGUCUUCGGAUUGUAAAGCACUUUAAUUUGAGAUGCGUUACCAACAUAAUAAGCACCGGCUAACUUCGUGCCAGCCGCCGCGGUAAUUC
rnacentral:rRNA from 1 species